rnacentral:misc_RNA from 2 species
CUGAAUUGUCAACACGAGUUGUUGCUGGUCCCCAAAAGGGGGCAUGUGCACGCUCUGUUUACACAUCCACUCACACCUGUGCACCCAAUGUAGUUCUAUGGCUUGGGAGGCUCUGCUCCUCCUGCUGUGGCUCUGCACCUUUACACAUACCCUGUAAUAAAGUCUUAUGGAAUGCAUGCCGCGUUUAACGCAAUACAAUA